GAUCCCUAAGAUCUAGUACUUGCCAAGAGUUAGACUCAACUACAUAAAAGAUCAUUUCCAUUAUCCUCUUUUUCCAUCAUUAUUUUCUCAUCCCAACAAUUCCAGCCAAUUUCCAUGACAUGAUAUAAUUAUGCCUUUCACAUAUCCUAUAUACAAUAUAACCAUUUAAAAUAUCACCAAUGUAUAUAUAAUUAUGCCAACAUUGUUCAAAUAGUUAACAACACGUAAACAUCCAACAUGAAGAAUAUCUAUAUAAUGUCAAGAACAUCCAUCAAAUUAUAAUAUCAUGCAUAAUAUAGUACCCAC
rnacentral:lncRNA from 1 species